rnacentral:rRNA from 1 species
GCAGUCCACGGUCAGAUCAGGCAAAACGGGGUGGUGUCCUUGAAGUGGCCGGGCGGUGGCAAGCGAAGCAGGUCGUACCAUAACCGGCAGGGCCCUCCUCCGAGCUAGGAGGAGGAAGGGCCCCAGAGACCGAACUCACAUCGUAUGGUCCGUGCUUCCUCGAUGGACCAGAUGGACGGCGGUGGCGCCGGCAGGCGGGUGAAGGUGGUGGGGAAGGUAGAGAGGCUCGACGGGCAGUCGCUGACCUACUCCGAGUUCGUCGACCGCUUCAUGAAGCCGAACCUCCCCGUCGUCCUCACGGGCCUCACCUCCUCCUGGCCAUCCUGCGAGGACUGGACGUUUGCCGGCCCCGACGACCGCCGCCGCCCCAACCUCCCCUUUUUCGCGCAAAACUUCUCCUCUCCUCGCGUUCAGGUUGCCGACUGUUCCGCCAGGGAGUACACGGACCACAAGCGCCUAGAGAUGUCCAUGCAGGAAAUCGUGGACCAUUGGGUUAGGAAUUCGAAUACUGUUUCAAGCAGCGGUCAUUGUGAAGCUUCCUCGCUUUACCUGAAGGAUUGGCAUUUUGUUAAAGAGUACCCUGAUUAUGUCGCAUACACCACACCACCGUUCUUCGUCGAUGAUUGGCUCAACAUGUAUCUUGACAGUCAUCCCAUGCAUAGAGAUUCUGACAUUGCCAACCACAAAAAUGAAGUAAACUGUGCUGACUAUCGAUUUGUUUACAUUGGAGCAAAAGGAACUUGGACCCCUCUUCAUGCUGAUGUUUUUAGGUCAUACAGCUGGUCAGCAAAUGUGUGUGGGAGAAAACUAUGGCUCUUUCUGGCACCAUCGCAGAGUCAUCUUAUAUUUGAUAGGAACCUACGAUCAUCGGUUUAUGACAUAAAUGAAGAUGUUUCUGAAAAGCAGUUUCCUGAAUUCAAUAAGGCUGAAUGGAUAGAGUGUAUUCAAGAGCAGAAUGAAAUAAUUUUUGUGCCCAGUGGGUGGUAUCACCAAGUCUAUAAUCUGGAGGAUACUAUAUCUAUCAACCAUAAUUGGUUCAAUGCCUACAACCUUCAUUGGGUGUGGAACUUGCUUCAUGAAGACCACAAAGUUGCAAAAGAGUAUAUUGAAGACAUCCGCGAUAUAUGUGAUAAUUUUGAGGCGCUUUGUCAACGCAACUUGGCAGCAAAUACAGGCAUGAACUUCUAUGAUUUCUUCAUUUUUAUCACACGGUUUGUUUUGGCCAAUGUAAUUGAGCUUUACCAUGUCCAAGAGCCCGAGGAUGCUAAAGUCAAUUCACCAGAAGCCACUCACCAUUAUGUGUAUAACCUUAUGCAAAUUCGGGAAGUUGCAUCUAAAAUGAUUUCUGCAGAGGCUUUUAGUAUUGAGAAUCUUUGUGUUAUCUCUGAAGGAAAUCGGAGUGCUAUGUCAGAUGUUACAAAAAUAUUAAAAGACGAUGGCUUCAGAAGGCUAUGGAUGACAUUGUCCGAGGCGUAUGAAUGCAUUCGCAGGGGGCAAAGAAUUUUGUACAAAGUGAGGUAUUUAAAUCAGAAAGGCUGUUUGUCGGUGACCUGUUCGAAAUCUGAUUGUAAUGUUGUUGAUCGCAUUACUUAUUUUAUGCGUGAAAUUCGUGGACCUGAGGAUCUGGUGAGGUUAAUUGAUACUGCUCUACCCGAGAGAUGAUUGUAAGCGCAUAAUGCGUGCGUAAACUUCCAUGCAUUUAUCACGACUGUUGGAUUUUCAUAACCAGAAGGACUAUGCGGGGACUACAUAACCAGCCCAUUUUGGAAGGACUUCGCGGGGCUCCAUGGCAUCCCCAUUGGUUAUCUUUAUGGUUUGCCUAAAAAAAAAAGAACUUCAUAGUUCUUAGAGCAUCUUCAACAGGUGACGUAUCUUGGUCACACAAAAGUAGUUUUACA